UGGGUUACAGGGACCCAUUCACAUGAACUAGAUGGCCAGACUUAAAUAAAAAAUGACUUACUAUUAACAUACAAAUCUGAACUUUAGCCUAUAAUCAGUUAGUUACAAACACAACAUUUUAAUUCCAAUGGAGUAGUUGGAAUCACUUAGCCUGCAACAUUGAUAAUAAGAGAAACUGGAUGUGGUUGAUCCAGUCACUGAUGAGAUGCUUGCAAAGUUUUUUGUUGAUAGUCAUCUCAAGUCACAAGCAAAAGGUGCUACUUUAGAUGCGAAGUCCUUCACUGAUUCACGGGAUACAAAUCGUGCCACUAUAUGGCCGCGUCUGAUCCUGAGAUAAUUCCUCAAGAGUUGCUAAACAAGUAUGUAAUGUAUUCCCUAAAUUACAAGAUGCGGAUUUGGACAAGCUCACAGAGGUUUAUGCUGAAUCUUUGCAUGGACGAGGAAUUCCCAUAGCAGUGAGGCACAUCAAAUCGAUGAUAAGCAUGAUGAUAAGGAUGUCUGAAGCUCAUGCAAAGAUGCAUCUCUCUUGAACCUUCUCAUUUUGUCCUUUGCUUUUCCCCUCUCCUUCUAUAUUUAAUAAACUAACAACUCUGGAAAUUAAUUAUGUUUUGUGUUUCAAUUGUCCGGAGUUGGUUGUCGUGGAAAGAGACGAGGUACACUGAUGCUCCCUCGUGUGAGGUUUCCGGGAAGGGUCAGAACACAAGGAUCUAUUAUAUGCAGCCUUAGCCUUACCCUUACCCUGCAUUUCUGUCAUGGAGAGAAUGAUAUAUUCACUGAAUACAUCAUAUCCUAUUGCAUAUUAUGUUUAAUUGCUAUUUUACUUGUUACAAAAGGAUACUUAAUAACCUGAUUUCAUGUAUUAAUGUAUUCUCUGUAUAUUUCCUAAUCAUUUUUUCGCAAGAUAUGAUCUUAAUGUUGCAUUUUGGUGCAAGUCUUUCAAUCUUUCCCGGGCCAACUACACUAGUAUUUAUAUAUAAGACACAA